rnacentral:tRNA from 1 species
GCCUGGGUGGCUCAAUCAGUUGAGUGUUUGAUUUCAGCUCAGGUCAUGAUCUCACAGUUCGUGGGUUCGAGCCCUACAUCGGGUU